UUGCCUCAUCUUUAGACACCUUAACAGCAACACAAUCUCUCAUAAAUGGCCAAACUCUCAUCUCCACAAGCCAGGGCUUUGAGCUUGGAUUCUUCACUCCUGGCAAUUCAAGAAACUGGUAUGUGGGGAUAUGGUACAAGAACAUACCAAGAACUUAUGUGUGGGUUGCUAACAGAGACAAACCUCUUUCAAACUCCUCUGGAACCUUCAAAAUCUUCAAUCAAAGCAUUGCUCUAUUUGAUCUAGCUGGGAAAGUCGUAUGGUCAUCCAACCAAACCAAUGCGAGAAACCCAGUUAUGCAGUUGCUAGAUUCAGGAAACCUUGUAUUGAAAGAGCAAGUAAGUGAAAGUGGUCAGUUUUUGUGGCAAAGCUUUGACUAUCCAACUGAUACUUUAUUACCUGACAUGAAGUUAGGCUGGGAUCUCAACACGGGUCUAGACAGGUACUUGAGUUCAUGGAAAAGCAGUGAGGAUCCUGGUACAGGUGAUUUCUCUUUCAAGCUAGAGUAUCAUGGAUUCCCUGAAGUAUUCUUGUGGAAAGAUAAUGAAAUUGAGUAUAGAAGUGGGCCAUGGAAUGGACAAAGAUUUAGUGGUGUACCAGAGAUGAAGCCUGUUGAUUACCUGAGUUUCAAUUUUAUCACUGAGCAAGAUGAGGUAUAUUACUCGUUUCACAUAGCAACCAAGAAUUUAUAUUCAAGAUUGACAGUUACUUCAUCUGGGCUGCUCCAACGAUUUGCAUGGAUUCCAGAG
rnacentral:lncRNA from 1 species